rnacentral:rRNA from 1 species
UACGUAGGGAGCAAGCGUUGUACGGAUUUAUUGGGUUUAAAGGGUGCGUAGGUGGCUGAUUAAGUCAUGGGUAAAAGCCCGCAGCUCAACUGUGGAAUUGCCUGUGAUACUGAGUAGCUUGAGUGCGGUUGAGGCAGCUGGAAUUGCUGGUGUAGCGGUGAAAUGCAUAGAUACCACCAGGAACACCGAUUGCGAAGGUAGGUUACUAAGACGUAGCUGACACUGAGUCACGAAAGCGUGGGGAGCAAUCAGG